UUCCCUUGCCUUCCACAGAAGAGCCUAGAGAUGGCCUUGUGCCUUCGGGAACUCUGUGACAGGUGCUGCAUGGCUGUCGUCAGCUCGUGUUGUGAAAUGUUGGGUUAAGUCCCGCAACGAGCGCAACCCCUAUCCUUAUUUGCCAGCGCGUUAUGGCGGGAACUCUAAGGAGACUGCCGGUGAUAAACCGGAGGAAGGUGGGGACGACCUCAAGUCAUCAUGGCCCUUACGGGAUGGGCUACACACGUGCUACAAUGGCGUAUACAGAGUGCUGCAAUACCGCGAGGUGGAGCGAAUCACACAAAGUACGUCGUAGUCCGGAUCGGAGUCUGCAACUUGACUCCGUGAAGUCGGAAUCGCUAGUAAUCGUAGAUCAGAAUGCUACGGUGAAUACGUUCCCGGGCCUUGUACACACCGCCCGUCACA
rnacentral:rRNA from 1 species